CGGUGGUGAACGUACGGCCCCAAAUAGCUUGUUUAAGAUAGAAGAAGCUACAGGAGCACACACUUACAAGUUGACCACCUCGUCUGGAACCGUUGGAACCAUCCCAGGGGCUUGGUUAAGUGCACCACAGCUACUUGUCACCAAUGAUGAGGCUAAGACCUUAUUCGUCAAGUUCGUGAAGGUUGAUGAUGAUGCUACUAAGGCUACUGCUACUACUACUUCUCGUGUUGAGAAGUUAGGUCUAAGGAUGUUCCCAUUCUACUAGUCAAGAUCAUGUAAUGUAAAAAGCCUGAGACUCGUCCAUGGCCAAAAAUAAUGGGUUGAGAUAAUUCCCGCACGUAUGCAUGUGAACUCGUCUUUACUUUCAUAUUAAAUCAAAUAAGUUUGUGUUUCCGGCGCUUUACGAGAUACACCUUGUAAUUUUUGCAUGAUAAUUGUUACAAAAAAUUUGUUACAAAAAAAAAAAAAAAAAAGAGAGAGGACCUAUCCAGGAAUUUUUGCAUGAUAAUUGCUUAGAAAUUCUGUUAAAAGUUCAUUUUCUGUUUCAUAGAGGUUUCUGAAUGAGAAUCUCUUGAAAACUUAUGAAAACAAUUCCCUCAAAAUCUUGUUUCGGAAAUGUGAUGGAAACUAGUGUUUCCAUUUAAAAACUAGCGACUUUGAUUCGAAACACAAAACGACUAUUUGUCAAUUUAUGUUUAAUGAUAGCUUAAUUUCUUUUUGGCAUACUUACCACAGAAUGAUAUUUUUUAUUUGUAUUUAAUAUCAUUUUCAGUAUUUAUUACCUUUUAAUAUAAUAAUUUAACUUAAAAGAAAAUGGACUACAUUAUUAUUAUUAUUUUUUUUUUGGACUAAAUUAUUUUAUUGAAAGAUAACAUACUUUUUUACCUUUUUGAUAAAAUUUUAUAAAAUUUACAAAAUAAAAAAACACUCCUAUUAUUUAGUUUAAUCUCUUAGAUAAAUUAAACAAAGGUAUAUAUAUUUCAGUUUAGAUGUCUAAACUGUUUAUUUCUUUUUAAACUACUUUUUUAAGUUUCAAAACGUUUCGUUUCCACGUAUUUGUUUCGGAUUCUAUGCUAGCUAGGUUAAAACAAAUGAUUUUUAAGUUUAAGCAUAUAGACUUCCUAUAAAUACCGAUACAAUGUGUCUGAUCUCUAUAACUCAACUCACCAAACAAUAAAAAAAAUAUGUCAUCAUUCCCAUUGGCCUCCUUUCUCAUCGCUCUCCUGUUGGCUGCAGCUGUCUGCACCCACGGACAAGUACCGGUGACGGACACGGACGGAAAAAACGUUCGUAUCAAUGAACGAUACGUCAUCCAACCGGUCAAUACCGGGAUUAACGGAGGUGGUCUUAUCCCAGUUGCAGCUAUACUCCCCUCUUGUCCACUUGGCAUCACCGAAGCACUUCCGGGGGAAUCGGGCGUGCUGGUUAGGAUCGCAUUUCCACCGAGGUUGAUCCCUCCCCUGCUGCCACGCACCAUUGUCCCUACAAAUUCCGACAUAACCAUCGAGUUCAAGUCCAACAUCUGCAAUGGCAUCUCCAAGUUCUGGGAAGUCGAUGAAUUCGCACAGAAUCCCGACCAGGCUGAGAUUCUCAUCGGUGGUAACCGGAGGAGAGGAAAUAGCUGGUUUAAGAUAGAGAGAGCCGGAAAAGAAGCAGAAACAAACAUUUACAAAUUUACCACUUCUGCCGGAACCGUUGGAACCAUCUCAGGGGCCUUGGAUAGUCCACAACUAGUUCUCACCAAUGAUGUGGCUAACACCAUAUUCGUCAAAUUCAUCAGAGAUGUUACUACCGUUGUUACUUCUGCUUCUCGUGUUGAAAAGUAAUGACUAAGGAUGGUCCCAUUUUGUUAAUGUAAAAGCCAAAGACUCGGUCAAUGGCCAAAUAUAAGGGGUUGAGAUUAAUACUGCACGUACGCUUUGGCUCGUAAACUUUUAUGUAAUGUCAGAAUAAAUUAUGUUUUCAAACAUGAAAUUCAAUAUUUAAUCAUAUAUCUGUUCUGUUAAAGUGAACUCCAAAUUUAUUUCUUUUCAAAUUAGUCUGAUUUAUUUUUAAUUUACUACUUCUGUUUCAAUAUAGAUAUGUUUUGAGUUUUCAUAUAUAUUAAAAAACCUAUUAAAAUUUAAUUAUAGAUACAUUAUUUUGUGAUUAAUCAUUUUCUACAACUUUUAGCUGAUCAAAAUAACACAAUUUAAUUUCUUCUAGGUCUACAAUUUAUCGUUAUACCUAAGAAAAAUACAUUUUAAACAUUAAAAAUGUAUUUUUAAAAAUAAAUUUUUUUUGAACAUGGAUCAUUCUAAAAUAGAUAAACUUAUGAAAUACAGAAAGUGUUUUAUAAAUUUCUUUUUUUUUUAUUGAAUAUCAAAUUUAUUGAUCAAAAUAACUCAUUUACAAGUGGGUGAUUAUGUACUCUAAUCAACCUGUGACAACCCGCCCCGUGGGACUACCCGCCCCUUGGGCCCCAGGCUCACAGCGCUGCAGCGCACCGACCCCAACCCCUCUAUUAUGAGUUCUCUCUAACUCCAUAAUUAGGUUGUUGGUGAGCCUCGAACCCAGGACCUCACCCUUUAACAGCAUUCCCACAGGACAAGCUGUCACCAAUUGAUCUGCAGGUCAAUUGGUGACAGCUUGUCCUGUGGGAAUGCUGUUAAAGGAUGAGGUCCUGGGUUCGAGGCUCACCAACAACCUAAUUAUGGAGUUAGAGAGAACUCAUAAUAGAGGGGUUGGGGUCGGUGCGCUGCAGCGCUGUGAGCCUGGGGCCCAAGGGGCGGGUAGUCCCACGGGGCGGGUUGUCACAAAAAAAGUCGAUCCGCCCACGGCUAAUGGACCACCCACGCCCGCUCUUUCGGCCCGUGGGCCCCAUCCCGUCUGACGGUCGGUCCGUUAAAUUUUCCAAAGGCUCGAAAUCAUUGUUUACUGACCCUGCAAUCACCACCCGACCUUUCCCCGUGCUUUGGCCUCACUCGCACGCUAUCGCGAAUCACUUCCCGAUAGGUCACCCAUCCUUCCACUACUCCAGUUCAAGCACGCUUAACUCUGGAGUUCUUUCAGGAUGUGCUCCGGAAAAGGUAAGUCAACUUUGGUGACAUAGGUAGCCAAAUCAAUUCUCUUAAGCCUUUUCACAUAUCACAAAUCGGGAUGUUACACAACCAUGGAUAAAUAAAAGAAUGAAACGUAAUCCCCUUCCAAUGGCUAAGAAACUUCAAACUAUCUUCUCAUCAUCUCCUCUAGCGGAUGAUCCUUGAUUUAGCGAAGAGAUGAUAUCUGAUUCCUAAUCUGUUUAUCAAUAGUUCGGGUGAGCUUCUCCGUCGUGACCCAAAUACCUCCAUGCCUCCGCGAGUUCCGUUCUUUACAGACAGAGUAGAAGACUGUCUGGAACACCAUCUUCUUGAGCACAGAUCCAGUCGACUAUGAGCAGGUAGCAUAAGAGAGGCUACGGUAUGGUUCCAGUCAAGAGUUAUGGCACUUCCAAUCAGUCUUCCUGCAAUGUUCAUCCAGACCGUGAACGAGUACAGACAUGCAAAGAACAUGUGAUCCAUGGUUUCGUUCUUCUCUCCACAAAGGAUACAACACUGGUCGAUACCCCCCAACUUUUCAUUCUAUCUCAUGUGGAUAAACGAUCUCUAAACGCAAGCCAUACCAUACCAUAAAAGCAAUUUUCCUACAAGUGACAUCACUUCUUUUAUCUCGUAAAUAAUUUCAGGUCUUGGCAAAAGAGAAAUUGGCUUUGAAGUCGUCAUGAUCAGCUCUCCAAAGCAUGACGUCCUCUCCAGAGAGUGUCGACUAGGCACCGGCCUCGCAUUUAGUUUCACGUAGACUUCAGAGAACCGCCUCUGCCCUCUACUACGGAUCUUCCAACCAGACUCACUGACCACAUCAGAGAUAAUAGCAGACCGAGGGACCCCAAGUACCCUAUACCAAUCUCCCCGGUUUCAUCCAAAAGUCUUCCUGUACCCAGCCAAUUAUCAAGCCAAAAAUAGGUUGAUCUCCUAUUAUUAACCUCAUACCUCAAACAAUCAUAAUAUCAUAUGCCAAUUAUAAAGCCAAAAUUUCCUAUUUUCUCUAUGGGCCAGUAAAAUUGAUACGUAUAUUGUAACUCUAAAUCUAAGAGGGGGACUAAAUCUAAUCUACGAAAGUAUUUGAAAGGAAAUAAACAAGCAAAAAAAUAAUUAUUUCUUCCAUUUCAAGAUUUUUCUUAUAAUAAAAACAAUUUUCUGUUUGAUUUUAGUUAAUAUCGUUUCAUUAAUAAUUUUAAAGAACAAAAGUAAAAUUAGAAAAUAUAUUUAUCAUAUGCAUUAAAAAUAAAAUGUUAUUUAUAUUAAAACGAGUUGUAAAAGACUAAAAUGAUAUUAAUAAAAUGAAAAAUAUAAUAUUGCAUUCGCUAAUCCCAACAUAUGUUUUCUAAGGCGACGUUCAUUUAAUAGACACAGAUGAAAGACUAAUCUCUUUCUGUCACACGCAGAUUUACACCAGCAAAGCAAAUAUGAGUUUACUCUGACCUAUUAUCUCUUUGGUCAUUCUUUGGUCAGAGUAAUUCUAACUCACUGCUACUUUUAUCUCAUUUAUAAUAUUUAGAGUUAAAAUAGUUUUAGUUCACCUUUAUUUCUUCUUAUGUAAUAGAGAUUGCUAUUUGUAAAAGAAUAGCAAGAACCGGGCCAGAAAACAAUGGAAUAAAACAUUUGAAUGAACCCCCUACCUUGUGGCACCUAAUUUAAAUAUAUAAAAAUAGCAAUAGGAUAUCAAACAGAUUUUAGAUUUUAUAGUUUAUAUACAAAUAAACUUAAUAUUAUAAAAUAAAAUAAUAUAUAAUUUAUGUUCUAAUUUUUUUUAUCUUCUUUAAAGAUAAUAAAAAUUAAGUUUUUGGUAAUGGAAAUUUAUUUUGUAAACUUAAUUAAACUAAACAUGUUUUUUUUCUGAAUGGGUCUCAAUAUUUAUAAAAUUCCUCUAUUUUAAAAGUAAAAAUAGCAAAUACAUUGAAGAUGGUGUGAAACACUUAUCAAAAGAAUGGAAAAUCUCUUGUGAUAUUUAUAUUUUUAGAAGAAAAAUUAAACGGUUUCUCCUCUUUUUACUUUUUUUCCUUAUUCUAAUUGGUGAUAAAGUUUAUUUGAAAAAGUUUUAAAAAUAAAGUUUAUUAGAAAACACCAAUGAUGAUAAGUUUAAAAAAAAAACCCAAUGAUGAUUAUUAUGCCAUAACUAUUUAUAAAAAGAAACAAAAGGCCGAAAUGUUUAGAAUGAUUCAUACGUUGAUUCCCCCACCCUACCACAGACACUAUGUAUGAAAUUUUUUUUUUUUUUUUUUGAGAAAGGGCUUUCAAGAGAAUUUGUUUUCUUCCCAUCAAUUAUUUGCUCAUCCUUUAUAUGUUAGUUGCAUGUUCCUCGUGCUCAAAAUCGAAGUUUGAGUUGAUUAGCGUAAAGUCUAAAACCCCUACUUGAGCAGAAGGUGUGAUCAAAGUAGUAAAGGCACACAGUUACGUCGUCUCUUCUUCGGCCUCUUUGCCGUUAGAAACGGAGAAAUAACAAAGAAAAAGGUGUAAAUUGCAUGGGAUUCUCCCGUCCGUGAAUAACCCAAAGUUUUUAAGGUGACUCUUUAAAAAUUUGUUAUUUUAUUUUUAAAUUCCCUUAUAUUUUUCAAAAAUACAACUUUUUCAUCUUAUUCUCACUUGUUAAGAUGACUAGAAAAAUACAAAGUGGAUGAGCCUGAAUCAGACUCUGCUUCGUUUCGCUUCACUACUUCAAAAGCCAGAACAGCGAAGGAAAAAACAAUACUUAUCAAGUUAAAGUGAAAUGAGAGAAUUGUGUAACGAUCAUGCAUCGGGGCUGAAAGAUGAAUGAAAACAGAAACUGUCAAUAUCUUAAAUAUUUUAAAUUCACAAUCAAGGAUCAGAACAGAUAAAGAAGAGAGAGAAUGAUAACUCAUGAUUAACCCGGAUUCUUAAUUUGGAGUUUUUAACUUAUGAUUUGAUAUUUUAUGUUCGUUUUUUUUUACAUUUUUUGGUUACGAACCAGCUUUUAUAUCUCUUGUUUAAGAGUUGGUUCUUAGCUUUUCUUAGUUGAAGCUAAGAACAUCACUCUAAGAGCUGCUAAGAACUCUACCCAAAGAGUCUAGGUUAAUCAUGGUUUUAAUUUAUUUAUUUUUUUGGUUAACUCUCUUAAUUUAUCUUACCGACUUGCUUUAAUAUUUUUCUAGUUAUGAAUAAAUUAUUAAAAGUCUAUGAAAUUUAAUGUGAUCUUUCUAAAGUUUAUCAAAAGAAACACGAUUUCUCCUCUUUCUUCUUUUUUCUAUUUCUGACUUUUUUGGUGAUAAAUUUUAUUGCUAUAAGCCUAUAAGUCUAUAACUAUUUAUAAAAAGAAGAAAACGAUUGUUUAGAAUCGUUCGUACGUGGGUUUCCCCAUCUUAUCACUUUGUUUGAAGUAUUGUCUUCUUCCCAUUAUUUAUUUGAACAUCCUUUAUAUGUUAGUUAAUAUGAACUGUUUUGCAUGUUCCUCGUGCUAAAAAUAAAAAAAAAUUCUUGGAAAACAUCGAAAUUUGAAUUGAUUAGCAUAUAGUGUAAACCCAUGUUUUCAACUGUCACAGCUAAAACCAACACAUUACGAGAAAGAAUAACUAUCAAAUUAGAUGAACUUAUAACCUAAAAAUCGAUUACUGAUACGUGCAUUGGUCUAUUCUUUUAUAUAUUAGUUAAAAUUUAUUCGAUACGGUACUUUAUAUGUAAUAUAAUUUUUUUGAUAUGAUGACUCUUUAAAUCUUAGUUUCGAAAUGUUAGGAUAAAAAUUGAUGAACCACUUUGGACUGUAUCGAUGAUUUAUGGGAAUAUAUUAUAUGGAUCAUACUCUGAUAUCAAAUUAUGUUAGGUGAAUUUUAAACUUAAAACUAAUUGGUGUGGUCAUCUCAUUUAUAUAUUCUUUUAACUUUCAAUUAAUCCCUGGACAGUAUUUGAGAAAUGAUUUCUUACAUAUUAUUUCUACAAUUGUUUUUACUAAAUAAAUAUGACAUGAUGACAUGUCUUAUGUCUAAAUGUGAUAACAUUAUUAGAAUAUGAUAGUAAAUUAUACAUCAUCACUAAAGUAAAUCUAUUCAAAUAUGACAUAAAAUAUUAUAAUAAUAAAAUAAUAUUUUUUUAAAAAAAAUUUAAAACAUUAUUUAUUUUUAUUUUUAUAAUUAUAUAAUUUUAUUACUAAAAAAAAAUGAAAAUUGUUUUACAAUUUCAUAAUUUUUAGCCGUAAUAUUAUUCGUUUAUUUUUACAAUUUUUUUAAAAAAAACCUGUUUAAUUUUACUUUUUUGAUAUUUUUUAUUAAUUUAUACAAGUUAAUUUAUCAUAUUUUAACCAAAAGAAAUAGAUACAAGAUGACAAAAAAAAUAGAUACAAGAUUUAUCUAAGAUUAUAAUUAUAUAUAUAUACAUAUAUAUUCUUAAAUAUAAUUUAAAAUAGACAAAAUUAUUUAUUUAUCUUAAUUUUAAGUUCAAUUAAAUCAAAAUCUAUAUUAAAAUAUUGGCAAAAAAUAAUAAAAUCUAAAAUAAUAAUCAAAUUUUAUUUUUGAUUAUAAUUUAAAUUUAAAACUUUGAUUCCUGCACAUGGUGCAUAAAAACACUUAGUGGGUGUAUAUGAAAACAGAAAACAAAUAUUAUUGACCUUUCAGUUGCAUUAUUUUCACUCUACCUAUUUUUUUCUUUUACUUGUCAUGUUCUCAUGCAAGAUAUAGAACAAAUGGGAAAGUAUAUGAUUUUCAGGCAUCUCAACAUCGAAAUUCUCUAUUAUUAAUUUGAAGUAUCCAUCUAAUAAAUAAUAAUUCAAUUUUUUCUCGUUAUAGAAUAAUUUAUACGUCUUUUUUUGAAAAAAAGUAUUGUCUUCUUCCCAGUGUCAGUCUUGAGAUAUUCGGGUACAAAAUAAAAUAUUAGACACUAAAAUGUUCAUAAAAUUAAAUUUAAAAAUCAAAACUUAACCUAUAACUUUAAUAUUGUUUAUAUAUUGUUGCUUUAUUACUUUUCUCAUGAGACUAAAAAACAAUAUUUAAGAUUUAUUUGUUUUUAUUUUUUAAGUUGGUUCCACGACUUUUGAGUUCUAACGUUUCACUUCUUCAAAAAAAUUAUGUUACUACAUUAGUACUAAUAAAAAAAUCAAAUAACAGAAACAGAAAUCUUUAAAAAAGUCCUAGACCCCACACAUUUGUUUCAUAGGAAUAGGGUCAGAACCGGGCCUGCUUCUUCCCCUUAAUUUAUUGAUCGUCCUUUAAAUGUUAGUUAACAUGAAUGUUUUGCAUGUUCCUCGUGCUAAAAAAAUCGAAGUUUUAAUUGAUAGCAUAAAGUCUCUUUUUUUUGGUACACGAAUAGCAUAAAGUCUAAACUCAUAUUUUCAUCACUAAUGAAGUGUUAAUCUUUUUUUCUACUGUCACAAGCGGUUUUAAAAUCUUUUCUUAAAACAUUAAGCUGUUUUGAAUUUAUUCGCAAGACUUCUUAUAAAUACCGAUACAUUGUUUCUGAUCUCUAUAGCUCAACUCACUCAAACAAACAAUCACAAUCAUGUCAUCAUUCCCAUUGGUAUCUUUUCUCAUCACUCUCCUGUUGGCUGCAGCUGUCUGCACCCACGGACAAGAAUGGGUGAGGGACACCAACGGAAACAGAGUUCGAAUCAAUGAUCAAUACUUCAUCCAACCAGUCAAUACCGAGAAUAACGGAGGUGGUCUUGUCCCACUUGCUGCUAAAAUUUCCCUUUGUCUACUUGGUAUCACCCAAGCACUUACGGGCGAACCGGGCGUGCGGGUUAGCUUCUCCUUUCCACCGUCGUUGAUCCCUCCCAUACCAUUCUCCCCUGUCAGUACAAAAUUCGGUAUAACCAUCGAGUUCAAGUCCAACGUCUGCAAGGACAUCUCCAAGUUCUGGGAAGUCGAUGGAUCCUCACUGAUUUCCGAAGAGCCUGCAAUUCAAAUCGGUGGUAACCCGCGGGAACGAAACAGCCGGUUUAAGAUAGAGAAAGUGGGAGAAGAAGGAAGAACAAACAUUUACAGAUUUACCACUUCUGACGGAACCGUGGGAGCCGUCCCAGGGCCCUUGGACAGUUCACAACUAGUUCUCACCAAUGAUGUGGCUAAGACCAUAUUUUUCAAACUCAUCAAAGUUAAUGCUGUUACUACGGAUGUUACUUCUACUUCUCGUGUUGAUAAGUUAGGACUAAGGAUGAUUUUGUAAUGUAAAAGCCAAAGACUCCGUCCAUGGCCAAAAAUAAGGGGUUGAGAUUAAUACCCGCAUGUACGCAUGCACGUAAACUUUUUUCUACUGUCAGGAUAAGUAAAAUAUAAGUUAUGUUUUCAAACUUGAUAUUCUAUUUCCAAUAUUCUAAAAAAACUAAUGGAAAAUACCCUAAGAUAGUACUAAAAAAAUUACAAAUAUAGACUGUAAGGAUGAAAAUGACCAAAAUAUUUCAUUAAAGAGUUAAAUAUACACUUAUAUAGGAUUAACUAAUUCAAAAUUUAGGAUAAACUAAUCCAAACGUUAAGGUUUAGAGUUAAGGGGUGGAGAUUGAGAUUUAAAAUUUUAUAAAAUAAAAAAUAAAUAUUAAAAAUUUGAAAAUAAAAAUUUUAAAAUAGUUUCAAAAAGUAUUUUCGAAUUACAAUAAGAAAAUUUGAAACCAAAGAUAAAAAAAAAUUAAAAAAAUAAAAAAAUUUAUAAAUAAGUUCAAAUUUGGAAACAUAUAAUCUAAAACUUAAUUUUUAAAAGUUGUCAAAACAAAUUUCAGUAUAACCAUCGAGUUCAAGUCCAACGACUGUAAGGAGCUAUCCAAGUUCUGGGAAGUCUAUGAAGCACGGAAUAUCAUUGAGCCUCCAAUUCUCAUCGGUGGUAGACCUGAGGAACCAAAUAGCCGGUUUAAGAUAGAGAAAGUCGGAGAAGAUGGAACAAACAUUUACAAAUUGACCACUUCUACCGGAAACGUUGGAUCCAUCCCACUAUUGGGAACUACACCACAACAAGUUCUAGUUCUCACCAAUGAUGUGGCUAAGACCAUAUUCUUAAUUCUGUUUGAAGUCAAGUAACCCAUCAAACUUAAAUGGAAUUCUAAAAUUAUUUAUUUUCAAGUAUUCGUAAAUCAUUGUGAGAUAUGUUUCUUCUUACUCUUUCUGACAUAUACAGUUUCUAGGCAUUGAGUCUAUUCUAACAAAUAAUUUUCAUGAAAGUUUUGUUAAACCGGCAUAUUGAUCCCGCUUAAUCAUCAAUUUUCAAAAGUGUACGUAUUCAGAAGCUACAAAGCAUAAGGCAAACCAUUCAAAACCAAAAUAAUUUAACUUUUAAGCCUUUUGAGCUUUUGACGUUAGCAUAUCUCUUGCGGCCGAAUCAAUGGGGAUUUAGGCCAAUCUUACCAGAAAUCAGGAACAUGUACCUUGUUCGAGGCCAAAAAGGGUGCAACGAUAGAUACUUUUUGUACACAAAUCUUCCUAGAAACUUCUUUGUUCGACAUCUCGUUGACAUACAUCGAACAUCAACUAGACUUUUCGAUUAAAACAUACUUAAAAAAGAACUAAUAUACAAUGAAAAAAAAAAUAAAGAAUACUAAAAAUUGCGGAA
rnacentral:lncRNA from 1 species